UACAGAGGGUGCAAACGUUGUUCGGAAUUACUGGGCGUAAAGCGCGUGUAGGCGGCUUUGCAAGUCGGGCGUGAAAUCCCAUGGCUCAACCAUGGAAGUGCACUCGAAACUGCAGAGCUAGAGUCCUGGAGAGGAAGGUGGAAUGCUUGGUGUAGAGGUGAAAUUCGUAGAUAUCAAGCGGAACACCAGUGGCGAAGGCGGCUCACUGGCCCGGUACUGACGCUGAGGUGCGAAAGCGUGGGGAGCAAACAGG
rnacentral:rRNA from 1 species